rnacentral:rRNA from 1 species
CCUACGGGGGGCAGCAGUAGGGAAUUUUCGGCAAUGGGGGGAACCCUGACCGAGCAACGCCGCGUGAACGAAGAAGUUAUUCGUAAUGUAAAGUUCUUUUAACAGGGAAGAAAGAGAAAUUUGACGGUACCUGAAGAAUAAGCUCCGGCUAACUACGUACCAGCAGCCGCGGUAAUACGUAGGGAGCGAGCGUUAUCCGGAAUUAUUGGGCGAAAAGGUUGCGUAGAUGGCAUAGUAAGUCUUUUGUAAAAAUGCUGGGCUCAACCCAGUAGGGCAAAAGAUACUGGAAAGCUAGAGUAUGACAGAGGCUAGUGGAACUACAUGUGUAGCGGUAAAAUGCGUAAAUAUAUGUAAGAACACCAGUGGCGAAGGCGGCUUGCUGGGUCGAUACUGACAUUGAGGCACGAAAGCGUGGGGAGCAAACAGGAUUAGAUACCCCUGUAGUC